UCAAAUCGAGCACGGCCCUUACGUCCAGGGCUACACACGUGCGUACAAUGGCCGAUACAGAGGGCAGCUACCUAGGUGACAGGAUGGCAAAUCUCCAAAGUCGGUCUCAGUUCGGAUCGGAGUCUGCAACCCGACUCCGUGAAGUUGGAUUCGCUAGUAAUCGCGCAUCAGCCAUGGCGCGGUGAAUACGUUCCCGGGCCUU
rnacentral:rRNA from 1 species